AAGUCUAUCAGCAGCCUGGAACCAAUAUGUGUGUUGCCUUCAUUGCCAACAAUCAUUCUACCUCAGCUAUAACUGCAAACUUCAAUGGUGGACAAUAUUAUCUCCCCCACAUUCCAUCAGUAUACUCCCUGAUUGCAAGACUCAGGUCUUCAGCACAAAAGGUAAAUUAGGGGAUCCUUUGGUAGGUUUCUAAGCUAUUAGGGGAGGAAUGGAAGAACCUGUCAGAAGAAAAGCGAGUGCCUUAUGAAGAGGUUUUGGCUUGUUGGACAUUUUCUUCUCCGCCUCUGCAAGUCUACAAACACUCUUAAUUUCUGUUUCUUAUGUAUUUCAGAUUGCCAAGAAGCAGAGGGAAGAUUAUCUGCAACAAAUGGAGCUUGACAAACAGAAGAAGAAUGAGGUCAAGAAAACUGUUUACACUGUGUUGCAUGUUGGUGAUGUGAUUCGAUUGGGCCAAUCACGACACCAUUGUUUUAAGACUCAGAGACUCGAACUAACUCGUCUGUUCCCGAGUUGAGUCGUACAUGAUGAGUGGGUAGUGACUCAUCUCACAAUCCAAUUCUCAUUGAUGUGAAUAUGCUUUGAUAUGAGAUUGAAGCAGGACAGUUGCAGGAGGGAUAGCUUCAAAUGAUGUGUAUCAAGAUCAGAUUCAGCAUUUCCUAACAGCAAUGUCUUUGCAUGUUUACCGAUAUAUAUAUAU